GAAAUGCGAUAAGCAAUGCGAAUUGCAGAAUUCCGCGAGUCAUCAGAUCUUUGAACGCAGCCCGCGCCGGAGAGAUAUCUCUUCGGCAUGUUUGUUUCAGUGUGUUUGGUUGACUUCACACAGCUCAAUGCGAUUGAACCUUUACGGUUCUCUCGUGAAAAGCGAAGGCGUGGGACUCGCCCGCCAACGAUGUGGUCACUGUCUAACAGUGAAUUCGUUGGGUUCAUCGGUCAAGUCAUUUAAGUACGUCUUUUACUUAACAAUCUUCAAUCUGCACCUGAAAUCAAGCAAGAACACCCGCUGAACUUAAGC
rnacentral:misc_RNA from 1 species